UCAGAUCAAUGUUCAGAGGUAAUAUGUUUCUGCCCGUAAUUUUCAUUGACUGUCAGCAUGUUCCUUUUUUAUUCAGUACUCUGUAUAUCACGGGGGUAUGACUAUAAUAAGGAUAUAUGGCUGAUGCAUUUUGAACUUCUCUGUUCCUUGGGACAGAACAGAGCUGAUAAAUUAUCUAUUCUUUUUGGCUUUAGUAGUACGAACAGAAAACAGGCAGUAAUAAACGGAGGGAGUACUAUUUUGUUAAUGAAACGGGGUCAUUAUUACGCAUUUUAUCCAACACUAAUGUGCCCUAAAAUUACAGAUCGAUUCAUUCAUCUCAUACCUUUUUGUGAGAGAGUCUGAUGGAUUUCAGUGAGCUUUGCCAAGGUUUUAUCCUCUGUUCCUUGGUACAUUCUUUUACUAUACAACAAUUGGUGUGAUUUUUUUUGUUUAGCUGUACGUUGUAGGAACACAGAACCUGGUUAUUUCAUUAUAUUCGUUGUCUAAUUUAUUUUCUACUACGAGGGAUCAAGUUCAGUAAUUUCUUUUAUCUUCUUUCUUCCUCACAAUUUUACAUUUACUCACUGAGCAGUAAAGGUCUUGGACCUGAAAUUCUUGUAGUACUAAUUUAACAUAAUUGUUCUUCGAGAAAAUGGCUUGUGAAGGUCUUGGACACUGCAAAAAUGGUUUGUCUUGGGUCUUAAUCAUAUUUUCUCUGAACAUUCUGAGCUUGACGUGCUCCUAAUUUACUCAAUGAAUUCAUCCAGGUUGCAGUCCUCAUAGGUUGUCCUGGCGAACUCCAAGACGACGUCGAAGAAAGACUCCGGUUGUACGUCUUGCCCAUAAGGAGGUAAAUACAUAUUCCAAACUCUUCUGUCAUUGCCUAACUUGUUUGUUAGCAGCAAUAUAUAAAACUAUAUAAACUGAACUGCCAACACAUUAUAGCUAAUAUUUUAGUUUGAAAUAUCUGCCAUGCUAUUUUAACAUUGGAAGUUCAAGAACAAUAUACAUAUUCGUGAGCAUGAUGUAUAUGUCUAUGAGCGAAAUAUUUCAAAUUGUAUGUAUAUGUCAGAGUUGCGCAUGUAACUGAGAAAACAGAUCGCUGCUUGUCUACUCAUGUAAUCGAAACUUGAUUUUGUGUUCUACUUGAUGAAUAUGAAAUGAUCUGUCCAUACUUUGUUUUAAAAUGACGUUGACCUUUUUAUGUUUGGACGAUAAAAUGUCGCAUUUGUACAACUAAUGUCAUUCCUCUACAUAUUCAUUUGGGAGUUGUCUGUUAUGUAGUGUAAUUCUUUGUGUUUUGGAUUCUUUGCAGGUUUGGCAGUUAGUUCGUGUUACUAUCGAUCGAGGAUUUUUAGCAGGAAUUACUUGGGUCUGAAAAGCUUCCUGGAAGUGGUGGUGUAGUGUUGGAGAUUAAAAUUAUGUAGUAGUGCAGUUUCAAUGAUGUCAUGUUACUUGAUUUUUAUUAAAUGCUUAUGCUUACAACACCUUGUAAAUAUCCUUGUGAUGUUUUGAUAUUAAUUUUGCUUUUUGAAAUCAGAUCAGAUUUUUGGAAAUUUGUAUUGUCUUGUUGAAUGAAUAUAAUUGCAUGUCUUGUUGUAAAAUAUGAUUGAGAAGAUGAGCUGGGGUGAA
rnacentral:lncRNA from 1 species